GGUGGCUCAGUGGUAGAGCGCUUGCCUUGCAUUCAUGAGCCUCUGGGUUCAAUUCCUCAGCACCA
rnacentral:tRNA from 1 species